rnacentral:rRNA from 1 species
AUUGAACGCUGGCGGCAGGCCUAACACAUGCAAGUCGAGCGGAUGAAGGGAGCUUGCUCCUGGAUUCAGCGGCGGACGGGUGAGUAAUGCCUAGGAAUCUGCCUGGUAGAGGGGGAUAACGUCCGGAAACGGGCGCUAAUACCGCAUAGGACCUGAGGGAGAAAGUGGGGGAUCUUAGGACAUAAAGCUAUCAGAUGAGCCUAGGUCGGAUUAGCUAGUUGGUGGGGUAAAGGCCUACCAAGGCGACGAUCCGUAACUGGUCUGAGAGGAUGAUCAGUCACACUGGAACUGAGACACGGUCCAGACUCCUACGGGAGGCAGCAGUGGGGAAUCUUGGACAAUGGGCGAAAGCCUGACCCAGCCACGCCGCGUGUGUGAAGAAGGUCUUCGGAUUGUAAAGCUCUUUUAGUUGGGAGGAAGGUCAGUAAGUUAAUACCUUCAUGUCUUGACGUUACCUAAAGAAUAAGCACCGGCUAACUUCGUG